GACGAACGCUGGCGGCGUGCUUAACACAUGCAAGUCGAACGAUGACGACCGAGCUUGCUCGGUCUGAUUAGUGGCGAACGGGUGAGUAACACGUGAGCAACCUGCCCUUCACUCUGGGAUAACCUCGGGAAAUCGGGGCUAAUACCGGAUAUGAGCUCCUGUCGAAUGGCGGGUGUUGGAAAGUUUUUCGGUGAAGGAUGGGCUCGCGGCCUAUCAGUUUGUUGGUGAGGUAGUGGCUCACCAAGGCGAUGACGGGUAGCCGGCCUGAGAGGGCGACCGGCCACACUGGGACUGAGACACGGCCCAGACUCCUACGGGAGGCAGCAGUGGGGAAUAUUGCACAAUGGGCGAAAGCCUGAUGCAGCGACGCCGCGUGAGGGAUGACGGCCUUCGGGUUGUAAACCUCUUUCAGCAGGGAAGAAGCGAAAGUGACGGUACCUGCAGAAGAAGCGCCGGCUAACUACGUG
rnacentral:rRNA from 1 species